rnacentral:lncRNA from 1 species
GUGGGAAACCGGACAGGUGCCGCAGAGGAAGAGCUCACCCACAUUUCACGGCUAUUUUCCCUGAUGUGCUCUGGGAGGGCGGAGUGCCGUGGGACUGGCGAGCGCCUCCCUUCCUGCCUGUCGGCAUGGACUUGCAACUGCAGGAGUGCAUGGACUGAAGGACCACACGCACUCACAGCAUGGCUGGGGCCUCCAGGGCCAGCUCCUCCAGCAGGACGGGUCCUCACUCAUUCCCGAGAAAUGAAACUAUUCUGAUAACGACUUUCCAAGAAAAAGUGCAAAAUCUUGCUUGAAUGAUUCACUUCCUUUCUUCCUGUGAUAGUUAAUUUUAUGUUAACUUGGCUGGGCCACAUGGCCUGUUGCUUGGCCAAAUCCCAGUCUAGAUGUUGCUGUGAAGGCAUUUUGUAGAUGAGGAUUAACGUUAGAUCCGUCAACUUUCAGGAAAGCAGAGACCCUGUCCACGGUGUGGCUGGGCCUCAUCCGAUCAGUGGACGACUUCAAGAGAAAAAGGCUGAGGUCCUCUAAGGAAGAAGAAAUCUGCUUCCCAACAGCCUUCAGGCUCAAGCUGCAACACCAGCUCUUCCCUGGGCCUCCAGCCUGCCCUGCCUGCCCUGCAGCUUUUCCACAUGCCAGCACAGUUGUGUGAGCCGGUUCCUUAAAAGCUGUCUCUCUAGAUACAUAUAGUCACAUACAGUGAGCCCUCCAUAUCCAUGGACUCCACAUCCCUGGAUUCAACCAGCCUUGUUGGAUUAAAAUAUUUAGAAAUAAAAUGUCUGCACUGAAC